CUGUUGGUGAACAAUGUCAAAAAAUUGCUAUAAAAAAAAUGGAUAGAAGGGAAUUUGUGGGAACAAUAUUGAGCACUAUUAUUAAUUAAUAGUUAGCCCAAAGGCUAAUAAUCUAAAGGGCAUGAAGAUUUAAUUUCAUACAACAUUUCCAGGUUAUGCUAGCUUUGACAAGCUGGUUUAACCAGCUUCCCUGGAAAUGAUUGAUACACUGCACAAAUAUACUUAACAAGAAAACUUAUUUUUCCACGUUCAGUUCAUGAGAGUGUUCAAGAUGGACAUGGGGGCAGGGUCUUUCAGGUUCCCCUCGUGCCCACAAAACGUUGAGAUCACCUCUUUUCUUUCCCAAUGUCAGAAAGGUUCCAAGAGUGAAUGGGACAAUGUAGAGCAGUGCUGGUUGGCCAUGCCCAUCCAUCAAGUUCAAGGCCACAUAUGUAAUGAGAAGACCUAAUCCAUAAGCAAUCAUUGCCCACAAGAAGUAUCCAGCUCGAAGACUCUUAUUUGCCAACCAAUCAUACCUGCCACGAUGAUCAAUUCCAUUUAGCAUACAAAAGUUGCUGCUGGAUGAUAAUUUACUGUCUGAAACAGCUUACCAGAGGAUAAAGGUGGAACAGUAUGCCUCAUUGUUUUUCCACUUCUUAAAAAUAGCAAGAUCACAAUUACUUCUAUUUUAUGUGCAAAAGCAGAAAAGGAUUGCAUAUUUGAAAUGUUAUGAUAAAUUAACGACUUUGCAUUUAAGUGCCACUGCUAAUAUUCUGUCUCUUCUUUUCAUGCAUCUCAUAGGCAAUUGAAGCCUUUAAGACAACAAUGGAACUAUAAACAGAUAUCGUAACAACUGUAACACCACAGGCCCUAUUUUAAUAGUAACGUUAGGGCUUAUAUAAACCCUUUACUUUUUCUUUAAUGUGGAUGUUACAACCACAGCACUAUAGCAUUUUCCAAAUUUUACUUUUUUGAAGUUUGUAGGCAUAUUUUACCUGCAUGAAUGCGAGUAAAGCCAAUUAAUAAACAUCAAGCAAAAUACUGAACGUACGCCCUACAUCACUUCUAAGAAAACUGAAAAGCAGUUCUCUGGGAAAACAAUUUGUUGAUUACAGGAACAUAAAGUAGCUAUUUUAAUAUGUUCUGUGAAAAAGAAAAAAGAAAAACAAGGAGAAACAUAAGAUGCUUAGCAAAGUUCAUGCUUGCAAUUAUAAAGCCCAGUGAGGAAAACAUAUCAGGACAAGGAGAAAAAAGAGAAUGGAAGAACUAGCUGAGGUGCAGAAAUCUUAGCACAUAAAGGAAAAACAUUAAGUAUAAAUGCUAACCUAAGUGAGAAUGCUAUCACCAAUCCAGGUAGAAGGAUGUCGCCAAAUCCUAUAAUGCUGUAACCACCCCAGGGAUCAAACAUUCGUGGGAUCUUUAACAGCAUAGGGAUACCAUCCUCUCCACUUCUAUCACCGCGAGCCACCACAAUCAUGACACUUUCAUGGAACAAUUUCUUAGAAACAAACACCCAAAAGAUGUCAUACACGAACGCACAACUUAGAAGAACUGUACCCACCUUGAGGUUAGGUACAUGGACAAUUUGCAGAACUGUGAUUAUCAGUGCAAUUCCCUGAUUGAAGAACAAAUAAAAGGAAAAAGAUUAUUAGUUGAAUUGCCUAGCAUCUGUCUUACAAGAUCACUUCACCCAUAAAAGAGAUAAAAAUGAAAAAUUGGAAAAGGCCAUAUGCCUCCCCAUAUCUACUAAAUUGGCAUUGCUAAAUAUAGAAACCAAGACAAUUAAAACAUCAAGAAGAAAGCAGGGAUUCAAUGUAGAAAAGUUCUCUGAACACUGAAGUCCAUUAUAAUUUGUGAAAUUUUUUAAUCCAGCAACAAAGAAUUAAGUGAACUUAUCACUUGGUAAGUAAGACAUUAACUUUUACAUUCACUGUAACAAUUUAGUUCUGAGAAUUAUUAUUUGUAAGAGAGAGAGAGAGUAAAGGAGGAAAAUUCAAAUUUUAAAAAGCAGAAGAGAACUCAAAGCUUUCUGCGCAGGUAAAGAAAAAGUAACAAUAUGAUUAUCACUGAAUUAUCUUCAAAGGUCCAGCCCCCUUCUUUCUUUUCAAUAUAAUUUUCAUUCUAUAUAUAUAUAUACACACCAAAGAGUUUGGUCUUCACAUGAAGUCGGAAACAUCAAGCUCUCAUAUUUAUCAAGGAUAAUACUCAGGUUAAAAGCAGUUCAUAGCACAAGCUGGCUUAUCUGUAACCUAUUUGGCGUGGAAACAAAUAAACAAUAAACACCAGAAUGCAUUAAUGUGCUGGAGGAGGACUGAUAAUCUAAUUACUGGAAUCUUAGAUAAAUGUGGCAAAGUUAUGUAAAAGCAGGUGAAAAGAUGAGGAAAUAUGUCCUUACUAGUAUAUCUUGGCCUACCCAGGCAAAGGAGACAUUGCGAUAGACCGCCCAAACAACAGCAAAUGCUAUGCAGAAUGGUGAAACAGCCAAUGUUAGGUAUGAAAGAGGUCCAAAGAAGGGUAUUUUAAUGUAUGACUGUCCUGCAUGCUUGAACCACCUGUGCAAAUUAACACUGAAACUUUAGUUUCCAGCACCAAGAAUACCAAUUUCCUUGACAAAAGGCUAUAGAACUGACAUCCUUUAUUUAUGCAAUCUAACAGACAAGCAUAGAAUGAUAGAAGCAUAGACAUAAAAGCUAGUUUAUUAUUCUUCACCAAUAUCAUAUAUAGAUGUAUUAUCAUCUUGCUUCAACUUUUUAAACUCCCUUAAUACCAAAUAAAAAUUCCUUCACCAAGCAAUGUUUCAUGGUAGAUGUCCACUUUAAAGGGGUCAUAUAUAAGAUUUCACAUAUUUACCAAGUCAUCAUUUCAAGAACAUUGUAAAUGAAUGGCAGGAAAAUGCAGUCUUGGCGUAGUGGAAGUCAGCUAUCACAUUGCCAAAUCAGAUGAUGACCUAGGUAAGCCCAAUUAACUCAUUGCCUAAUCAUACUUUUCCUAUGAUCGCUCACCCUGCAUUGUAAUAAUUCUUUUCAGCACCCAUAUCAUAUUAGCAUUUUUAGCAGCCAUUCACACAGCAACUACUAUCUUAGGGUAACUGCCAUACAAAAAUAAGUUAUCGAUGGUGAUAAUUACAUAAAAUCUCCCAAACUACACCUUCAAAAACUUCAUUAUUUCAUAUAUUAUCCUUUCAUUGCUUUAUUUCACUGCUCUAUUUUACACAAUAUGAUUUACAACUCAAUCAUAUCAGAUUCUCUUCAAAGUGAAUCUUUUUCUCUUUGCAUAUGUAUGCUAUGCUUUUAGACUAAAUCAACUGCUCUCUGCAUCACUACUACAAUCUUU
rnacentral:misc_RNA from 1 species